rnacentral:rRNA from 1 species
UACGAAGGGAGCUAGCGUUGUUCGGAAUCACUGGGCGUAAAGCGCACGUAGGCGGAUGUGUCAGUCAGGGGUGAAAUCCCGGAGCUCAACUUCGGAACUGCCUCUGAUACAGCACGUCUUGAGUCCGGAAGAGGUGGGUGGAAUUCCUAGUGUAGAGGUGAAAUUCGUAGAUAUUAGGAAGAACACCGGUGGCGAAGGCGGCCCACUGGUCCGGUACUGACGCUGAGGUGCGAAAGCGUGGGGAG